rnacentral:rRNA from 1 species
AUUGAACGCUGGCGGCAUGCUUUACACAUGCAAGUCGAACGGCAGCACGGGGCCAACCCUGGUGGCGCGUGGCGAACGGGUGAGUAAUACAUCUGAAUGUGCCCCGUCGUGGGGGAUAACGUCGCGAAAGUUACGCUAAUACCGCAUACGAUCUGCUGAUGAAAGCGGGGGACGUUCGGCCCCGGUCGGCUGGGGGGGGCGGAGGCCGGAUUAGGUAGUUGGUGGGGUAAAGGCUUCCCAAGCCGACGAUCUGUAGCUGGUCUGAGAGGACGACCAGCCACACUGGAACUGAGACACGGCCCAGACUCCUACGGGAGGCAGCAGUGGGGAAUUUUGGACAAUGGGCGCAAGCCUGAUCCAGCCAUUCCGCGUGCAGGACGAAGGCCUUCGGGUUGUAAACUGCUUUUGUAGGGGACGAAAAGGCUCUGGCUAAUACCUGGGGUUCAUGACGGUACCGUAAGAAGAAGCACCGGCUAACUACGUG